AAAUUGAAGAGUUUGAUCAUGGCUCAGAUUGAACGCUGGCGGCAGGCCUAACACAUGCAAGUCGAACGGUAACAGGAAGCAGCUUGCUGCUUCGCUGACGAGUGGCGGACGGGUGAGUAAUGUCUGGGAAACUGCCUGAUGGAGGGGGAUAACUACUGGAAACGGUGGCUAAUACCGCAUAACGUCGCAAGACCAAAGAGGGGGACCUUCGGGCCUCUUGCCAUCAGAUGUGCCCAGAUGGGAUUAGCUAGUUGGUGAGGUAACGGCUCACCAAGGCGACGAUCCCUAGCUGGUCUGAGAGGAUGACCAGCCACACUGGAACUGAGACACGGUCCAGACUCCUACGGGAGGCAGCAGUGGGGAAUAUUGCACAAUGGGCGCAAGCCUGAUGCAGCCAUGCCGCGUGUAUGAAGAAGGCCUUCGGGUUGUAAAGUACUUUCAGCGGGGAGGAAGGUGUUGUGGUUAAUAACCGCAGCAAUUGACGUUACCCGCAGAAGAAGCACCGGCUAACUCCGUGCCAGCAGCCGCGGUAAUACGGAGGGUGCAAGCGUUAAUCGGAAUUACUGGGCGUAAAGCGCACGCAGGCGGUCUGUCAAGUCGGAUGUGAAAUCCCCGGGCUCAACCUGGGAACUGCAUUCGAAACUGGCAGGCUUGAGUCUUGUAGAGGGGGGUAGAAUUCCAGGUGUAGCGGUGAAAUGCGUAGAGAUCUGGAGGAAUACCGGUGGCGAAGGCGGCCCCCUGGACAAAGACUGACGCUCAGGUGCGAAAGCGUGGGGAGCAAACAGGAUUAGAUACCCUGGUAGUCCACGCCGUAAACGAUGUCUACUUGGAGGUUGUGCCCUUGAGGCGUGGCUUCCGGAGCUAACGCGUUAAGUAGACCGCCUGGGGAGUACGGCCGCAAGGUUAAAACUCAAAUGAAUUGACGGGGGCCCGCACAAGCGGUGGAGCAUGUGGUUUAAUUCGAUGCAACGCGAAGAACCUUACCUGGUCUUGACAUCCACAGAACUUUCCAGAGAUGGAUUGGUGCCUUCGGGAACUGUGAGACAGGUGCUGCAUGGCUGUCGUCAGCUCGUGUUGUGAAAUGUUGGGUUAAGUCCCGCAACGAGCGCAACCCUUAUCCUUUGUUGCCAGCGGUCCGGCCGGGAACUCAAAGGAGACUGCCAGUGAUAAACUGGAGGAAGGUGGGGAUGACGUCAAGUCAUCAUGGCCCUUACGACCAGGGCUACACACGUGCUACAAUGGCGCAUACAAAGAGAAGCGACCUCGCGAGAGCAAGCGGACCUCAUAAAGUGCGUCGUAGUCCGGAUUGGAGUCUGCAACUCGACUCCAUGAAGUCGGAAUCGCUAGUAAUCGUGGAUCAGAAUGCCACGGUGAAUACGUUCCCGGGCCUUGUACACACCGCCCGUCACACCAUGGGAGUGGGUUGCAAAAGAAGUAGGUAGCUUAACCUUCGGGAGGGCGCUUACCACUUUGUGAUUCAUGACUGGGGUGAAGUCGUAACAAGGUAACCGUAGGGGAACCUGCGGUUGGAUCACCUCCUUA
rnacentral:rRNA from 10 species